ACGCGUGCCACGUGCCAGUAUGAUUUUAAGCUUUUAAGGAGGCAAAUUAGUGAGUGCUAUGUUUAUUAUUGACUGUGUUUAUUAUUCUUAGUUAAAAUAGUUUUGAAAAGAGCUUAAAAAAAAUGGAAUCAAGAGGAAAACGAAUCUUGUCACUUCUUAAAAAGCAAGACAAACAAGAAGAAUUGGUACAAUUAAGCACUACCACUAAUAGAUGCUUAUCAGCCACGACUGUGAACACUACAGAUCAAGGACUGUGCAUAGAGACUCCUUCAUCAUCGGGUCUAGAAAAUACGGUUACUACCUAUGAUGCAGACAUUAUAUACAUCCCAGACCUCGUAA